GACGAACGCUGGCGGCGUGCCUAAUACAUGCAAGUCGAGCGAAGUUUUUCUGGUGCUUGCACCGGAAAAACUUAGCGGCGAACGGGUGAGUAACACGUAAAGAACCUGCCUCAUAGACUGGGACAACUAUUGGAAACGAUAGCUAAUACCGGAUAAUAGCAUUAACUGCAUGGUUGAUGUUUAAAAGCUGGUUUUGCUAACACUAUGAGAUGGCUUUGCGGUGCAUUAGCUAGUUGGUGGGGUAAAGGCCUAACAAGGCGACGAUGCAUAGCCGACCUGAGAGGGUGAUCGGCCACACUGGGACUGAGACACGGCGCAGCCUCCUAAGGGAGGCAGCAGUAGGGAAUCUUCCGCAAUGGGCGAAAGCCAGACGGAGCAACGCCGCGUGAGUGAAGAAGGAUUUCGGUUCGUAAAGCUCUGUUGUUAGGGAAGAAUGAGUGUGUAGUAACUAUACACAGUAGAGACGGUACCUAACCAGAAAGCCACGGCUAACUACGUG
rnacentral:rRNA from 1 species